rnacentral:rRNA from 1 species
AAUGAACGCUGGCGGCAUGCCUUACACAUGCAAGUCGAACGGCAGCAUGACCUAGCUUGCUAGGUUGAUGGCGGGUGGCGAACGGGUGAGUAAUGCAUCGGAACGUGCCUUUUAGUGGGGGAUAACGUAGCGAAAGUUACGCUAAUACCGCAUAUUCUCUGAGGAGGAAAGCAGGGGACCUUCGGGCCUUGCGCUAGAAGAGCGGCCGAUGUCGGAUUAGCUAGUUGGUGAGGUAAAGGCUCACCAAGGCAACGAUCCGUAGCGGGUCUGAGAGGAUGAUCCGCCACACUGGGACUGAGACACGGCCCAGACUCCUACGGGAGGCAGCAGUGGGGAAUUUUGGACAAUGGGCGCAAGCCUGAUCCAGCCAUGCCGCGUGAGUGAAGAAGGCCUUCGGGUUGUAAAGCUCUUUCGGCUGGGAAGAAAUCGCACCCUCUAAUACAGGGUGUGGAUGACGGUACCAGCAGAAGAAGCACCGGCUAACUACGUG